UUUUUCUUUAUUUGUAUUUUUUUUUAAGCCAACCUCUGGUAGCAGUACAUAUUCUUGUAUUCUUUUUCAAUGAAACUGUGCACUCAUUCAACAGGAGAAAAUAUUAGCUUGGGACAUGUUAAAAACUAUGGAACCGUGCCAGGCUUCUCUAUUGUACAGCCACAUUAUGUAUCUUAAUCUCAAUUGUUCGAUCUAACAGUGGCUAGAGAGCAGUGGUCCCCAAAUCAGUCCUCAAGACCCACCAACAGUCCAGGUUUUAGUAUUUCCAUUGGAAUAAAACUUGAAAAUACAUAAAUUGUGGAUUGUUGGUGGGUGUCACAGUUUAGUAGAUAG